UGGGGAAUUUUGCACAAUGGCGGAAGCCUGAUGCAGCGACGCCGUGUGGGGGAUGAAGGCCUUCGGGUUGUAAACUCCUUUCGUCAGGGACGAAGUUUGUUUGACGGUACCUGGAUAAGAAGCACCGGCUAACUACGUGCCAGCAGCCGCGGUAAUACGUAGGGUGCGAGCGUUGUCCGGAUUUACUGGGCGUAAAGGGCUCGUAGGUGGUGUGUUGCGUCGUCUGUGUAAUCCAGGGGCUUAACUUUUGGUUGGCAGGCGAUACGAGCAUUGCUUGAGUGCUGUAGGGGAGGCUGGAUUGCCUGGUGUGUCUGUGAGUUGCGCAGAUAUCAGGAGGAACACCGAUGGCUAGGGCAGGUCUCUGGGCAGUUACUGACGCUGAGUAGCGAGAGCAUGGGUAGCGAGCAGG
rnacentral:rRNA from 1 species